rnacentral:snRNA from 1 species
GGGCGUGGACCGACGCGG